UGUUAUAGCAAUAUGACACCAAGAGUGACGCACGGGUGCGUAACACGUAUGCAACCUACCCUUUACAGGCGGAUAGCUCGGGGAAACUCGAAUUAACCCGCCAUAAUAUAAUUGAAUGGCAUCAUUUGAUUAUUAAAUCUGCGGAGGUAAAGGAUGGGCAUGCGUCUGAUUAGUUAGUUGGUAGUGUAACGGACUACCAAGACGAUGAUCAGUAGGGGAACUGAGAGGUUGAUCCCCCACACUGGCACUGAGAUACGGGCCAGACUCCUACGGGAGGCAGCAGUAGGGAAUAUUGGUCAAUGGGUGAGAGCCUGAACCAGCCAUGCCGCGUGCAGGAAGAAGGCCUUCUGGG
rnacentral:rRNA from 1 species